rnacentral:ncRNA from 17 species
UAAUAAAGAAACCAUUUUGGUGCCUGCCACGUUUUUGUAAAACGCGGCGGAGUAAACGGGAAACAGGUGAGAAUCCUGUGCUAUGCCGUAGCUGUAACAGUCGAGUAUGCUUUUAUAUCCACUGAGUAAUCGGGAAGGGAAAGCAGUAUGAUGACGCUGGAGCCAGAAUACCGGCCGGAAUGAAGAACUUUUGC